CUUGCGGGCUCCGGUCUCCUCCCCGCCCGGCCCGCCUCCUCCUUAAGGGAGGAGGCGGCGGCGCUGGCGGGACCCGAAAGCCGAGAGAGCCGGAGGCCAGUCCGACUCCGAACGUGUCCGGGCCCUUGGCAAACCAGUAUGGCUUGCUAUGCUAAGUUAUAUAUAGAAAUUCAGGGACCAUCAGACCUUCCACCUCUACAAUAAGCUCCUUGUGACAAUUAACAUCCAUCUAUAAAUUGAUCUUUUACUUGGCACUUGUUCUGUGUUGAAGCUUUUGGAUAAUGGAAACAUUCCCCUGGCAAUGUCUCUGGGGCGACUCCUUCGACGAGCCUCCUCAAAAGCCUCUGACCUCCUGACCCUCAACCCCAGUUGCAGCAGUGGCCCUCCUUCUGUACUGGAUGGGGAGAUCAUCUAUUCAAAGAACAAUGUCUGUGUCCAUCCCCUGCACGUUCUGCAGGGCCUUGGGGAACAUCACCCAGUUGUUGUUCCUGUUGUUUCCAAUACAUAGUCAAGCAAAACAAAUUUCCACAAUGGUCAUGUCCAAAAGGAAUACAUGCGCGUGCGCACACACACACACACGUUAUUCUGCAUUCUUGAGUUUUUCUCUUCUUACCAAAGGUGGGUAGCAUUAUUAUGCCAUAAGAAAUGGAUUGAUAGGGGGCAGCUAGGUGGCACAGUG
rnacentral:lncRNA from 1 species